GUGCUAUACUGCAGUCGAGCGAAUGGAUUAAGAGCUUGCUCUUAUGAAGUUAGCGGCGGACGGGUGAGUAACACGUGGGUAACCUGCCCAUAAGACUGGGAUAACUCCGGGAAACCGGGGCUAAUACCGGAUAACAUUUUGAACCGCAUGGUUCGAAAUUGAAAGGCGGCUUCGGCUGUCACUUAUGGAUGGACCCGCGUCGCAUUAGCUAGUUGGUGAGGUAACGGCUCACCAAGGCAACGAUGCGUAGCCGACCUGAGAGGGUGAUCGGCCACACUGGGACUGAGACACGGCCCAGACUCCUACGGGAGGCAGCAGUAGGGAAUCUUCCGCAAUGGACGAAAGUCUGACGGAGCAACGCCGCGUGAGUGAUGAAGGCUUUCGGGUCGUAAAACUCUGUUGUUAGGGAAGAACAAGUGCUAGUUGAAUAAGCUGGCACCUUGACGGUACCUAACCAGAAAGCCACGGCUAACUACGUGCCAGCAGCCGCGGUAAUACGUAGGUGGCAAGCGUUAUCCGGAAUUAUUGGGCGUAAAGCGCGCGCAGGUGGUUUCUUAAGUCUGAUGUGAAAGCCCACGGCUCAACCGUGGAGGGUCAUUGGAAACUGGGAGACUUGAGUGCAGAAGAGGAAAGUGGAAUUCCAUGUGUAGCGGUGAAAUGCGUAGAGAUAUGGAGGAACACCAGUGGCGAAGGCGACUUUCUGGUCUGUAACUGACACUGAGGCGCGAAAGCGUGGGGAGCAAACAGGAUUAGAUACCCCUGGUAGUCCACGCCGUAAAACGAUGAGUGCUAAGUGUUAGAGGGUUUCCGCCCUUUAGUGCUGAAGUUAACGCAUUAAGCACUCCGCCUGGGGAGUACGGCCGCAAGGCUGAAACUCCAAAGGAAUUG
rnacentral:rRNA from 1 species